AUGGCUGCAACUUUUUGAGGGCCCACACUACAGCCAGGCAUUCUUUUUCGAUGACGGCGUAGCUCACUUCCCGUGGUAAUAGUUUCCGAUUUAGAUAUGCAACAGGGUGUUCUCCGCUAUCUGCUCCAACUUGGCUCAGCACUGCUCCCAAUCCAAACAUUGAAGCGUCUGUGUGAACAAGAAAGUGAUUAGUUGGAUCAGGAGUAGCAAGUACAGGUGCGUUAGUUAGAGCCGUCUUGAGUUGGUUAAAUGCCUGAUCACACUCCGGGCCCCAGACAACCUGUUGAGGAAGGUUCUUGCGGGUCAAGUCAGUCAAGGGUUUGGCCAGGGCAAUAUAAUUGGGCACGAAUUUUCUAUAGUACCCUGCAGUGCCCAGGAAGGCUAGCACUUGGGUCUUUGUCCUAGGGGUGGGCCACUUAGCAACGGCUUCAAUCUUUGCUGGUUCGGGUUUUUGUUGCCCGCUCCCCACCCGGUGGCCCAAAUACUGCACCUCUGCCGUAUUUGGGCAUUGCUAGGUUUCAGCAUCAACCCUG